UAGUCUAGUCUAAUAUCCUUCUAGGGGUACAUCUCAAUAAUCUAGUCUAAUAUCCUUCUAGGGGUACAUCUCAAUAAUCUAGUCUAAUCUCCUACUAGGGGUACAUCUCAAUAAUCUAGUCUAAUCUCCUUCUAGGGGUACAUCUCAAUAGUGUGGUCUAAUAUCCUUCUAGGGGUACAUCUCAAUAAUCUAGUCUAAUAUCCUUCUAGGGGUACAUCUCAAUAAUCUAGUCUAAUAUCCUUCUAGGGGUACAUCUCAAUAAUCUGGUCUAAUAUCCUUCUAGGGGUACAUCUCAAUAAUCUAGUCUAAUAUCCUUCUAGGGGUACAUCUCAAUAAUCUAGUCUAAUAUCCUUCUAGGGGUACAUCUCAAUAAUCCAGUCUAAUCUCCUACUAGGGGUACAUCUCAAUAAUCUGGUCUAAUAUCCUUCUAGGGGUACAUCUCAAUAAUCUAGUCUAAUCUCCUUCUAGGGGUACAUCUCAAUAAUCUAGUCUAAUCUCCUUCUAGGGGUACAUCUCAAUAAUCUAGUCUAAUAUCCUUCUAGGGGUACAUCUCAAUAAUCUAGUCUAAUCUCCUUCUAGGGGUACAUCUCAAUAAUCUAGUCUAAUCUCCUUCUAGGGGUACAUCUCAAUAAUCUGGUCUAAUAUCCUUCUAGGGGUACAUCUCAAUAGUGUGGUCUAAUCUCCUACUAGGGGUACAUCUCAAUAAUCUAGUCUAAUAUCCUUCUAGGGGUACAUCUCAAUAAUCUAGUCUAAUAUCCUUCUAGGGGUACAUCUCAAUAAUCUAGUCUAAUCUCCUACUAGGGGUACAUCUCAAUAAUCUGGUCUAAUAUCCUUCUAGGGGUACAUCUCAAUAAUCUAGUCUAAUCUCCUUCUAGGGGUACAUCUCAAUAAUCUAGUCUAAUCUCCU